GAUGAACGCUAGCGGCAGGCCUAACACAUGCAAGUCGAGGGAGAAGCCCUUUCGGGGGCAGAAACCGGCGCACGGGAGCGUAACGCGUAUGCAACCUACCUUUCACCGGGGGAUAGCCCGAAGAAAUUUGGAUUAAUACCCAAUCAUAUUAUUGGAUGGCAUCAUUUGAUAAUUAAAACUGCGGUGGUGAAAGAUGGGCAUGCGUCCUAUUAGCUAGUUGGAGUGGUAACGGCACCCCAAGGCUACGAUAGGUAGGGGUCCUGAGAGGGAGAGCCCCCACACUGGUACUGGGACAGUGACCAGACUCCUACGGGAGGCAGCAGUGCGGGAUAUUGGUCAAUGGUCGGAAGACUGAACCAGCCAUGCCGCGUGCAGGAAGAAUGCCUUAUGGGUUGUAAACUGCUUUUAUAUGGGAAGAAUAAGGCGUACGUGUACGUUGAUGACGGUACCAUAUGAAUAAGCAUCGGCUAACUCCGUG
rnacentral:rRNA from 1 species